rnacentral:rRNA from 1 species
AUACGGAGGGUGCAAGCGUUACUCGGAAUCACUGGGCGUAAAGCGCGCGCAGGCGGCUUGAUAAGUUGGAUGUGAAAGCCUACGGCUCAAACGUAGAACUGCAUCCAAAACUGUCAAGCUAGAGUCUGGGAGGGGAAGAUGGAAUUAGUUGUGUAGGGGUAAAAUCCGUAGAGAUAACUAGGAAUACCAAAAGCGAAGGCGAUCUUCUGGAACAGUACUGACGCUGAGGCGUGAAAGCGUGGGGAGCAAACAGGAUUAGAAACCCCAGUAGUCC